rnacentral:misc_RNA from 1 species
GGGACAUAGGAACAGAGGCUAAUCAACUGUUAUCAAAAUUUGAUCCAUAGAACAACAAUAGAGAGAAUUAAAAACACAUGAGAGUAAGUUUCUAGAAUCCCUAAUUCGAGCACACUAGGAAUGUAGGAAUCAAAAGGGAUUAAACUGCAGAGACUAAUUUGAUAAAAUUGCAGAGCUUACAACAUUAGGCCGUGGCAUGGCAGGUAUUGACACCAUCCUUGCAGUCGCUGGUGAGAUCAUUAAAAGUCUCAAUCUGCUUCUUCCCCCUCAAAAACACCUCGGUAUCGACCUCCACCCUCAUGUACCCAUCAAAAUCGACCGGUAUUCCAUUGUUGAGCUGCUUCGUCUCGCUGUACCACUCACUGUUCUCCCCCCACAGUUCCUUGUAAUCGUCCAGGAAGUGUGUGGUGUACUUAUCCUUCAAUGGGUCAAAGAAGGAUGUAUCGGGCUCAUUCGUCGCAAUGUAGAGAUUCCGCCCAUCAUCAACCUUCUCCCGCAAAGUCGAGAGAAGUGCCUCCGGCGAGGUAUCAGAAGCAAGAUUUGGCCACAGCACAGUGUUCUUCGCCUUUUCGCCACGGACAAUGUGGACAGAGUCAAAGUCCCAGUUCAGCUUAGAAGCCACCGCCGAUACAAUCUCCAUCAGCCUGCGGGACUUCCAGAUGAGGUGCCACGGGCGCUGGAUCACCGACUCCGUCUCCCCCUCACAGACGCGGUACCAGUAGUUAUCCGGCUCGACCGUGCCGAAUUUCCGCAUGAUGAGGGUGUCGUCGAACUCCGCCAGCUUCAUUGGCGGCACACGGAAGUCUUCGAUAACAUGGAGGCUGAGCCCGUCCUUCUUCUCCCAUUUUCCCCAAUCGGUCCAGAACUCGUGCUGAUCGAGCACGGAGGCGGAGUCGCGGAGAUGCUCGAAGUCGAAGUAGAACCGGAAGUCCUUCCCCUCCUCGUCCUGGUUGGUGUUGGUGUAGAUGGAAGAGAGGCAGAUGCUGAGGUCCAUCACUAGAGUGCGGUUAAGGUACUUCGCUUCCCCGAGUGCACAGAGUAAACUCCAUAGGUAGUGGUUCAUGCUCUUGCAGCGGUCGCCACCGCCAGUGUAUAUCAGGUACCGCCCGGCAUGGAAAGAGCCCUCGGAC